rnacentral:lncRNA from 1 species
AGAGAGAGUAAUUUUUCCAUGGGCAGAGAAAGGAAGUUCUGUGUGCAUUUAUGCACUCAUAUGUAUGAGUUGGAGAAGGCUUCAUAGAAGAGAAGAUAUUUUAGCUGUGGAGAGGAGUUAAACUCACAGAACAGUUGGUUAAGGUCCCAGAGGAAUACAAGAGCUGGAAAAGGUGGGACGCCUACCACAGCAUGGCUUUUGCCAAGCGGUGCCAUGUCUGCACCCGGGAUCAGAAUCGGCAAACCCCAGGCCGCCAAGAAGCAGAACGUGGGCACUUAACUGCUGCCGGCCCUCAAUUUUGCCAUGUAUUUCCAGGGCACUGAACUGGGCCACACAAGAAAACCUACAAGAAGUAGAAGAUACAGUUGUUCCUGGUUUCCUGGAGUUUACAUCCAAGAGUAAAGGCAAAAGACUGUGAGUUUUCCUGGGCAUGAAGAAGAAGCUGAUCACCAACUCUCCUAGAGAACUUCUCUCUCCUUCUCUGUGAGGUGCCAAGGAGAAAACCUGGAAGCCUCAGAGCACUCUGCCCAGUAGCAGCCAGGCCUGGGGCAUCUCUGCCUGGCCUAGACUGCACACCACUGGAUUCAACAUGAAAGGAUGCCCUGCCCUGAUUUUCAAAGUCCAACACCACCAGCACUCCUUCUCAUGUGGGAGCAGGCAAAACUGCAACAGAGACCUCUGCCUUCCCACCCCAGGGAAGACAGACCCCACAUCACAGAGCUCAGCCCCUCUGCCAGGAACCCAGGGAGGAUGGUCAUCAUGCUUCACCAACUGCCAUUGAUGUCCAGAAAGAGAGUGAAACUAAUGGUUUGAACCACACCUAUCCAUCAGAAUAGCUCAAAGAAGCAUUUCCAGGUAUAUUUGGCAAGCCCGACCCUAGAGACUCUGGUUUUGCGUGCCAAGGCAAGCAGACACUUGUGUGCAGGUAAAAGCUCCCUAUGUAACUCUAACAUAGACUCCUAAGGAAGAAUCACUACACC